AUUUGUAAAGUUUCUCAACCAAGAUUAUAGUUGUAAGAUCGCAUGCAGAACUUACUGUAACAGCAUACAAAAGAGGAGAAGAAUCUUACAUACCGCAAUUAAACCAUGGGGUUGAUGAAUCCAUGACCUCAAACCUUCCAAACCUCGGGAAUACAUGCGCAAAGAGGUCGCUAAUGUAGAAGAAGGAGAUCGGCCCACAUGCAUGGGCGCAGCUGAAGUCGAGCUUGCAUGCAUGCAAGGCUCACUUCAUUCACUUGAGCAAAGGAACUCGCCGGAUCAGAGAUGAGG
rnacentral:misc_RNA from 1 species